UAAAGUGGCGCACGGGUGAGUAACACGUGACUAACCUACCCUCGAGUGGGGAAUAACCUAGAGAAAUCUGGGCUAAUACCGCAUAACACUUACGAGUCAAAGCAGCAAUGCGCUUGGGGAGGGGGUCGCGGCAGAUUAGCUAGUUGGCGGGGUAAUGGCCCACCAAGGCGAUGAUCUGUAUCCGGCCUGAGAGGGCGCACGGACACACUGGAACUGAAACACGGUCCAG
rnacentral:rRNA from 1 species